GCCAGCAAGAGAGCCCCGGGCCUCCCAUGGACGUGUCUGCCUGCGAGUCGGCUGCAGAUGUGCCAGGAACCAGUGGAAUCCACCUUCCUGGUUUCCCAGAACUUUACUAUAAAUUCCUGCCUAUUGCCAGGAAAUGCUAUGGAAAUAAAAAUAAAUGAAUUGGGAAGGCAGUAUCAGUUUCAGGGAGCAUUGGACUGAGUUGAGAGGAUUUUGUUAUUUCCCAGGCCAUAUAGGUUUGCAUUUCCAUCUUUGGUUCCCUGGUCUAAGGAGAGGAAAUUCAAUCCUAGUAACUAGCACAGGAGGUUAACAUAGAUUUUGGGGAACGAAGGAAAAUGUGUUUCUGUCCGAUGUAGGCAGAGUGGAAAGAGACAAGGGGAAGUGGGGGCUCAGGGAGCUGAUGCCAGUGGCCCCUUGGGGUGAACAUCCCAUGACCUCACACUGUGAUGCUCUCAAAUCAGCACAAGCUGCUUCCCCUGGUACACACUGCUGAACCUCCAACAUCAAAAUUAAAUGUCACUGUAUGAGGCAUGCAAUUUCUUUGGAGAACUGAGCUUUAUUUCCUGGAAGAGAAGUUUAAAUCCAUCAGACAUUUAAAGGCAGGGCCCUGUGGCAUGCCCAACAUCAGAAGUGUGGUUCGAGUUUACGUCCUCCUUCUGUCCUGGAGAGGCUCAUGGUUGGAUGAAGACAUGUACAUAUAAAAACUCAUCAAAACAUGUUGAGGUGCUCAUCACGAUCAAUGAGCUCUGUGCUGUGGGACAGAAGGACAAUAAACUAGCACUGUGAGCUGCCACAGCCCUGCGGCCUGGGGUGGAGGUCAGUCCAAGGAGUUCUGGGCAAAUGGAAUGACUACAGGCUCCACGCUGUGAAAGACUAUUACAGAAAUCACACAUGGCUGUGCUAUUUAAGAUGUUUGUGGCUGAAAAUAUAUAACCCAAUGAACAGUGGCUGAAACCUGAGCUGCUUCUCCCACUUCCAAGGAGGCCCUGAGCUUGGUGGUCUCAUGGGCUUGGAGGCACCCCUGCAAGACUCCUUAUGCUUUCAAGAUUCCAGUUCAAGCACCUGUCUUCAUGGCAGCACCACGAGAAGGAAGGCAGUGGGACAAAAGCGACGUUGCCAUCACAGUGCUCACUCCUUUUAUCAUGGAGCAAGUGAUUUGGCAGAAACCCCAACAUUUAUCUUUCCAUCUUGUUAACCAAGUCAAGUCACAUGUUCACCCCAUGCCAAUCCUUGGCCAAGGCCGGUCAGAUGGCCUUGAUCAAAGCUUUCCCUAUACAGGAACCCUAUAUGUACUGCCUUGAUUAUACACUUUCCCUGUGCAGGAACCCCAUAUAUACCACCUUUCCAGACACAGGACCAUACCCUUUCCCUGUCUGGGAAGCCCCCAUAAACACAAGUUUGAUCAUACCCUGUGUUCCCAUAUAGAAACCAAAUUAGAGGCCCCUUUUAAAGAAGAAGGGAAAGUAGGGUCUCUUGGGGACGAAAAAAAAAAAAAAAA
rnacentral:lncRNA from 1 species